UACGUAGGUGGCAAGCGUUGUCCGGAAUUACUGGGCGUAAAGGGCGUGUAGGCGGUCUAUUAAGUCAGACGUGAAAACUUAGAGCUUAACUCUGAGACUGCGUUUGAGACUGAGAGACUUGAGGAUCGGAGAGGGCAGUGGAAUUCCCAGUGUAGCGGUGAAAUGCGUAGAUAUUGGGAAGAACACCAGUGGCGAAGGCGGCUGCCUGGACGACACCUGACGCUGAGGCGCGAAAGCCAGGGGAGCAAACGGG
rnacentral:rRNA from 1 species